AUUUGCCAGUGCACAGGUGGCUGUUUUGUUUUUUGAAAACCAGACGAUUUGUGAACCCUGGAACGCAUCAAGAUCAGUGUCGAUUUUUGCUGUAGUUUUUCUUCAUUUCCUACGACCGCCACCUCGCAAGACCUCGCAGGCUCGCACGCUUCUUCUGGCUUUUCCCCAUUUUGUCGGGCGGAGAGGACGGCGCUGGGGCUUCUGCUCGACGGCCGGCGCGACGGCGCGGACGAUCGGGGCGCGCCGGCCUACGGGAGAAAGGGACCGCACCGGGGAUCAUCUCCGGCUCGAUCCCGGGGCCGCCGGGGCGCGCCUCUUCUCCGCUCUGCAAGAUCUCGCGGGGAACCUCCUCAGCGGCGACAAUUUCUGGGCGAGGAGGAGAGGGGAAGCGAUUUUUGGAACUCUGCCCGUUGCCGGCGAAGUCUGCUCGCGCCUCCGAAAAUUAUGGGUGACAGCGAUGUUGUAUCUAAUGAGAAGGAUUUUAUUUCGGAGUGAGAUGGGCCUUGAUGCGUACUGAUUUUCCAACGUCCGGCUUUGGCUUAUUCCCGAUGGUCGAGGAGCUGUCAAUCCCAAGGGAUCGGAGUACCACAACAAUCUAAUUGAUGAACUCCUGAGUUAUGGGUGCGUAUUCAUUUGGCGAUCACACGGAAACUGAUUUGAUCACUACAACAUAAGUGUGUUAGUAUGCAACUUCUCUAUUCUGAUUAAUGGUACUGAUCAAUACAACAUAACCUGUCCUUUGAAGCUUAUUUUCUUUCUGUUUUAAAAUGCUUCAUCGUUUACGUGUCCUUUCUGUAAUUCUAAUAGUUUUUGGUCUGAUGUUCAUAUAGAGGCAAAAGAUUCACCAAUUAGAUCAUUCACCUAUUCGGAAAAAGGCUAGCAAUAGGGCCAAUUUGUCA